GAGUUUGAUCCUGGCUCAGAGCGAACGCUGGCGGCAGGCUUAACACAUGCAAGUCGAACGGGCACUUCGGUGCUAGUGGCAGACGGGUGAGUAACGCGUGGGAACGUGCCUUUCGGUUCGGAAUAAUCCAGGGAAACUUGGACUAAUACCGGAUACGCCCUUCGGGGGAAAGAUUUAUCGCCGAAAGAUCGGCCCGCGUCUGAUUAGCUAGUUGGUGAGGUAAUGGCUCACCAAGGCGACGAUCAGUAGCUGGUCUGAGAGGAUGAUCAGCCACAUUGGGACUGAGACACGGCCCAAACUCCUACGGGAGGCAGCAGUGGGGAAUAUUGGACAAUGGGCGCAAGCCUGAUCCAGCCAUGCCGCGUGAGUGAUGAAGGCCUUAGGGUUGUAAAGCUCUUUUGUCCGGGAAGAUAAUGACUGUACCGGAAGAAUAAGCCCCGGCUAACUUCGUG
rnacentral:rRNA from 1 species